ACAAUGUGGCGAAAGCCUGAUCCAGCAAUGCCGCGUGAGUGAUGAAGGCCUUCGGGUUGUAAACCUCUUUUUCCCGGGACGAUAAUGACAGUACCGGGAGAAUAAGCUCCGGCUAACUCCGUGCCAGCACCCCCGGUAUAUAUUUAUUCC
rnacentral:rRNA from 1 species